rnacentral:rRNA from 1 species
UACAGAGGGUGCGAGCGUUAAUCGGAAUUACUGGGCGUAAAGCGCACGUAGGUGGCGACGUAAGUCGGGUGUGAAAGCCCCGGGCUCAACCUGGGAAUUGCAUUCGAGACUGCAUUGCUGGAGUACGGAAGAGGAAGGCGGAAUUCCCGGUGUGGCGGUGAAAUGCGUAGAUAUCGGGAGGAACACCAGUGGCGAAGGCGACUACCUGGCCUGUUCUUGACGCUGAGGCGCGAAAGCUAGGGGAGCAAACGGG